UGGGGAAUCUUGCGCAAUGGGCGAAAGCCUGACGCAGCCAUGCCGCGUGAAUGAUGAAGGUCUUAGGAUUGUAACAUUCUUUCACCGGGGACGAUAAUGACGGUACCCGGAGAAGAAGCCCCGGCUAACUUCGUGCCUGCAGCCGCGGUAAUACGAAGGGGGCUAGCGUUGCUCGGAAUUACUGGGCGUAAAGGGAGCGUAGGCGGACAUUUAAGUCAGGGUUGAAAUCCCGGGGCUCAACCCCGGAAUUGCCUUUGAUACUGGGUGUCUUGGGUAAGAGGUAGGGGUGUGGAACUCCGAGUGUAGAGGUGAAAUUCGUAGAUAUUCGGAAGAAAACCAGUGGCGAAGGCGAAACACUGGCACAUUAAUGACGCUGAGGCUCGAAAGCGUGGGGAGCAAACAGG
rnacentral:rRNA from 1 species